rnacentral:rRNA from 1 species
UACGUAGGGUGCAAGCGUUGUCCGGAAUUAUUGGGCGUAAAGGGCUCGUAGGCGGUCCGUCACGUCGGGAGUGAAAACUUGGGGCUUAACCCCAAGCCUGCUUCCGAUACGGGCGGACUAGAGGUAGGCAGGGGAGAACGGAAUUCCUGGUGUAGCGGUGAAAUGCGCAGAUAUCAGGAGGAACACCGGUGGCGAAGGCGGUUCUCUGGGCCGUACCUGACGCUGAGGAGCGAAAGCGUGGGGAGCAAACAGG